ACUGGUGUUGAUCUGCAGCGGCUGCACUUUGUGCGAACACAAACACGUUUUGUAGACUCCGUUGUUUUCACACAGGAAAGCUGCGGCGCUGCUGGGGCUUUGGCACAUGGCUUCACCAUAUGGUCGGCUCUCCUCACACGUGACAUCAGCGUCCCACACCAGUUUUACACCCACGUCCACGGAAGGACUGUCGCAGAGAGCUGCAAAAUGCUUUCCCGGUGCCUGAACGCAGCUCGGCGUGAGCCGUGAACGCACCGCGCAGCUCCUGUAGCACAUGUUCUCAUGGUUCUCAUCGUCACCGAGACGCGAUAUCAGUUAAAACACGACGCUUCGCCUGCUGGCAGCUGUGGGGAACUGCAGCAUCAACACGAGCCUCCGCCCCCUCGCUUUUUUAAAAGCUUUAUUUGUCUUAAAAAAUGUAAGCUUAUUGGGUCGAACGAGUGAGAAUAAUGUCGUCCAAUUUGUGCACAAGAAAGCCAGUAUACAUACAAGACACAAAUACAUAACGAACAACAGCAGGUCCAGCUACACGUGAAUCAGCGCAGGUGUAUCUGUGUGUUGGUGUGCACACACAGUGCAGAGACCUGAGGCUGUCCUCCAUGUCUGAGCACUGUCCUUCUCUGUCCUUCCUGUCGCCGUGGCUGUGCCGCAGCCUCCCGCAGCCUCCCGCAGCUUCCUGCACGAGCUGAUUACGCAGCAGCAGCAGUGAAAUGCCGCCUGUUUGCGGUGACCUCGUUUUUUGCUCCAGAUCAUCAGCUCCUUUUAAUCUUCCGCUGGUUCCUGCUUGAUCUGCAGUGCAUGAUUGCAAAUUCGCUAUUAGGAGCCGGGAGAGGAAGGGGGGCUGUGGAGCUGGGAGGGGUAAGGCUCACACACACAUGCUAACACAUGCUCACGACUCCACCUCCCCUCGUCUCUCUGCCUCCACCCUCCCAUCCUGCUUCCACAGUGCAAAAACAAGGACGGAUUACCGUUCAUCUGCUCCAUCGCCAUGGAAACACUGACCUCACACGGUGGUGACCGGCAGUCUGGGCUUGUCGCCAUGGCGAUCUGCUGCCGGUGCUGUGCUGUGCCGUGCCAGGCGGGUGGAGGGAUGGAAGGAAGGAGGGAGGGAGCAGGGUCUGCUGGGUUGUGACGGAGAGGCCCUGCAGCUCUCUGCAGUAUCACCAGGAAACACAACAGACUCCACUCUAAUGUGACCAGCAGAGGGCGCCCACAGUGAGAUGAGUGCAUAAUGACUAUUGAUCAGCGGCACAAUGUGACCUGAAGACUACUUGUGACUAACACAAGUCUUAACUGACUGUUGCUAAACCCCUCCCACAAACAGCGACUGACUGCUCGCAGCUUAGCAACCGAACUGGACACUACAGAGAAGCAGUUUAGCCUGCUACAGGACAACAGCACGAGGAACAUCACUGUGAGCUGCAUGGCUGUGAUGUGUUGGUGAAGAUCAUGUUUGCUGAGCGUGAAGGAGACUCGGUUUCCCACAAGCCUCGGCUGUCUCUGCUAACUGGGCUCUGCUUUUACCCAGAAACCCCCAGUCAACCGCCCCGUCCAUACCCCUGGGAAACAGCGUCCAGAGGAAAGAUGAGGUCCACAGGGACGAUCAGGAGCUGGUGUCCCAGUUCAGAGACACCGGCCUCCAUCACGCCUGCCUGCUCUCCCUUUGUUCAGCACCUCCUGCAUUAUGUACAUUUGACACGUAAAGGCAGCCGUCCUCCUGAUAUGAUGGCUUUUACUCGUGCAGCCUCUUCGCCGUCACAUCUUGCUGGAUAAAUCAGACGGUGGUUGUUGGCUGCGUGUAUUUGCUCAUCUUUUCAGUUUUUUUUUGUGACUCAACACACACACAAUGUUUAGUUAAACUUUCUUUGAGUUAAGAAAAGUUCAAGUUCCUGCCUUCAUAGUAGUAAUUAAAAACAUAUAAAAACCAUAAAUGACACAUCAAAUAGCACAUACCAUGACAAACCACAGCCACAUAUUGCAUGUAGUGCACAUAUUACACACCCAGUAAUAAGAAAACCAAGAAGCUUUUGCGCAACAACUGCAGCCUGGAGCAACAUUUUUACAUUUUAAUUGAAGAAGGCACAAAUGAGUUUUUAACACGGUUGACUUUAUGUUGGGUUAUCUGGAUCAUCUACCUGAGGGAAGGGCUCAGCUGGAGAAUAUUCUCUGUGCUCAUGUAGUGACUGGAGAGACUGGUCUUCAUACUUUCCCAGAACCUCCAGGGCAGACUGUAGCAGACAAACAAUCUGAACUGUGCAGUGUGGAGAUCCUCUCUUCACUACACUGUGCCUUCAGUAUCUCAUAUUUUUUCAGUCAGGCAUUUUGAACCGAGCUGCUGGAAGUUCAUUGAUACCAGGAAAUGAGAACUUAUGGACGGAAGUGGCUCGGUAAGUGGAGGUUUUGUUUGCAUCAGAUUCAUUAAGGUGACCUUUAGGAGUGGCAGCAAACAGUAUCAGCUCCAGUGUGUUCCUCCCUUAAGCUUUGUUUUUCACACUGUUGUAUAAGACAAAAGGAGAGUUCAGAUGUAUUUGUUUUCACAAAAUAAGCAAGUCGGUUGAUCACUAAUGCCUCCCAAAACGAGCUGCGUGGAGAGAACCGGCAACAGGCGUACCGGGCCCUCGUAGUCCCAAGGUUAACGCUGUUGGACUCUCACGGUUUGGCUGGGUUGACGCAGCAGACGGUCAGGAUCUGAGGUUAAUAAUGUUCGGUGUAGUCCUGCACAUCCAGAAGGUAGCACACAGUCCAGAUUCAGACAGUGAAACUGAAUGGAGUAAGGCAGCUGUCCUCCUGAUAAAUCCUGACCUUCAUCAGAGCUGUCUGAAACCAUUUAUUUCAGUUUCCUCUGUCCAGUCAAGUUGAUAAUUGCAGUACUAACAUGCAUGGAAACAGUUAAAUUACUAAAAGUAGGUUUUCUAGCCGUUACAGUAAAUCAUUAAAACACUCAUUCAUCAGUACAAUACACAAAAACAAUAAGUUCUCCAUGCUUGAUGUAAUUGAAAGGCAGGACAGCCUGCAGGGACCAGCAGAGGUCCAAUGAAGUGUCUUGAAAUCCUGAUUCCCCCUUCACAGCUGGAUGGUCAGGUUUAGGAAAAGGUUCAAAUUAAUAUCUUAUGGAAGUUACGUUAUAUACGUGAUGGAAGUUAAAUUUGACACGGUCGACCUUGACCUGACUUCCUCCUUUCCUCCCGUCAGCAUCACUACAGCUAUUAGAGGUCACUACUUAAAAAUAAACACAAAUCUGAACACAAAAUACAAUACGCUGCUUGCACAGAUGACCCACACGACGACAGUUUUCAGGAAGCGGACUCGGUCAUUCGAGUCUUCUUUAAAAUGAAAGUUGUAGAUAAAAGAGAAGCUUUGAGUGGCUUGAGUCAGCAUCUCAUUUCUGUUGGGAAAGUUAAUCAUGUCAAACAGGAAAUGAGGAAAUCUGACCUCCGAUCAGCAGCAGAGUCUGUGCUGUCUCGCUGUUGCAGAGUAAAACUGAUGAGCUACAAAUUGUGACAACACCUACUCAGCCUGUGGAAACAGGCCCAUCAAGUCCUCUGUGGAGGAGAAGAUAACCCUGGUGAUGUCAUGCUGAUGUCAUCAGGUGUCUAACAAGGCAGCUCCAAACGGAAGGUGUGGCGUUGAAAGGACGUGGCUGUUUAGCGGGCACAGAGCCCCUAAUGGUCGAUGCUGUUGAACUGAAUUAUGGGAAAUGUGGGAUGUUUGUCCUGUGCAAAAACUCAGGGUCUUCCCUCAGAUUUUUACUGAUCUGCUCUUGUUAGUCACCACCAGCUUUGUUUGAAUGAAUUACUGAAUUUCCAGGGAACUCUUUUACCCGGGAAACCCUUUUCUGGACGGGUGCUUGUGUAAUUAGUCUUAUUUGCCAGCAUUUGUCCUGUCUGUCAUAAGCUCACACUGUGGCGACGUGACGAGUGGAACAUCAAAUCUGAUUCAUGCUAAUGGCUUCAGAGUGCUUCUCACUGUGCUCGGGGACGAACUGGUGAACAUGUGAGCCUCCCGCUGUAGUGAAAACACACUGAAACUGGACUUAUCAGGUUUCGUGAGCUGCAGCUGUGGGAAGCGUCGCCUGCAGGUUCACGCUCGACGCAGAAACCCGAACCUCCUGCCUUCUUCUCUUUGACUUUUGUUUUCUCCUGAUGUGCUUUGACGUUUUCACCGACAGUCAGAGACAGUUGACGGUGGGCGGGUGGAUCGGGGAGUCGUGGUUUCGGGCGCAUCAUAAACCAGCAGGAACCUGUUUGUGGUCAGAGGGGGUUUCCGGGCUGAAUGCCCUCACAGAGUUUCCCCUGUGAAACGGAUCUAAGCUCAGACCACCACCUCUGACUUGACAAAGCUUUCAGGUUUCAAACAAAAAUCUCUCCAGCUUUGUUUCUCUACGCCCGAGUCGCUAAACGUUUACCAAACAUGCGACUGAAACACGCUGUGGCUCAUGGCCUUAAUCCCUCCUCAAGUGUUGCUUUAAAGGAGCAGUCCGACAACUUAGCUCCGUCGACAGAGCUAAGCUGGCGGUAUGGAAGCCAUGACAGCAGCUGUGCUGUGUUGGUAGUCGCACAUGAGGACAAACAAAACCGAGCGCGGUGGUCAGCAGCACCACAGGGUGCCUUUGGUUGCUGGAUCAUCACGCUGCUGACUCCAUGUUGGUCUGGUCUGACUGAGUGCAUGUCUGGUUCAAGUGUUCCUUUAUUCUUCAAGGUCUAAAAUGUUUCCACUGCAUCUGUAAGUGUUGCUUUAUUAUUUUGAUCCUGAACAACCUGAAGCCUUCUGAAAUUACAGAAAUGUUACAGAAUUUCAGAAUAAGAGCAGGAAGCUCAUACACACAUAUACAAACGUCCAGCAUUUGAAUAUUAAUCUGUUUUUUAAAUUAUGUUUAAAUGCUACUAAUGCACAACAGCCACGUAGGAGUUUUAAAAUCAGUUUUCAGGUUCCAUGUGGGCUCCAAACAAAACUGAGGAUGUUUAAUUUGCUGUUUAAUUGACUUCACUUUUCUUGCCUUUGACUUUUUAAAUUCUGGAGGACCACAAACAGUAAGAAAGUGUUUCAUUAAUCAAUGAAGAAUUGUACAAUAAAAAACUAGAUUAAUAAUGUUGUUGACAAGGUAAUUUAUUAAUCCAUAAAUAUGAUUUAUUAUUUGAUAAGUUAAUGGGAUGUCAUACAAAACCUUUUAAUAUUAAUCCAGUUAUUAAAAAUGAAUUUCCCAAAACACCAUAGUUAAAUACAUCAUUUAAAAAUGAAUUAAUGAACUCAUAAAUAAAUAACAUAAGUUCAGAUUUCUUUCAAAGUGCAGUGUAAAGUGAGAAACAUCUGAAUUUCCUCUUCCUGUUUACCUUCCCAUUGCUACUCAUGUGACACUCGUGCUCCUCUUCAAGUGUUGCUCUGCGUCCUUGAAUCGACCUCACUAUUACAUUUAUAUUAGAAUUUCUACACAUAUAAUCAUUUGUAUAAUUUACUCUUAUCAAGUUUUACUAUUUAAUUUACAACAACAGUGUAUGAUCAGCAAACAAAACUAACUGCUACAGUUUUGAUGCUCACAAAUAUCAUGAAUAUAUAAGUCAGUACUGACCCCCGUACGUCUCCGUGUUUAAACACAACCUCAAACUCUGUCGUGGUUUAGGUCAGCGGGAAUUUAAAUAGCGAAGACGUGUGGAAAACAUCCAUAUGACUGAGACGGAGUGAUGGAAGAAGAAGAAGAAGAACACAUCGGUCAAAGGUCAAUAUGACCAAAUAUAAAAUCACUCACGACGACAGCUUUGAAGCUCUGCUGUUGUCUGAAGCCUUUUGGCCUUCAGUCUGAGAUCGCUGACAGCAGAAGGACACCUGAGGUCACCUGUGUUCAGUCUUAGGGGGCCACAGGUGACAGACAGGAGGAAGGUGGAGGGUUUCUGUUGGAGGACAUUAGGACCCAGAAGAAACAGUCAGUGGUCUUCAGCCUACUGCUUUAUGAGAGUCAAAAUGCAUCUCAAAUUACCUCCUCCACCCGGCACCCACCCCUCCCCCUCCCAUCCUGAAGAGAGAGAGAGAGUGUGUGUGUGUGUGUGUGUGUGUGGGACUCAGACAUGGAGGACGACAGUCGUAUCGAUCGAUCAGGGAGGUCGAGCUGCUGUGUGUUUCUCGUCAUGUUAAAAUGGGGAGACGUUGGGAUUAAAUUAAAUUACUGCUGACUGAUUGUCAAACAGCACACUGAAGACAAACCUGCUGCACGAGCGGAUCUGUUUCCACACGCGGAGGAAGACGGCCACCUGUGACCGACGUGUGAAAAUGUGACAUUAUCCUUCACGUUUCAGUUCGCAUGAUAAUAACGUGUGAAACCUUUGUAAGAUACGAACAGCCCCGAUUCCUAAAGGUUAGCACAUGUGAGGAUGUGCUAACACGUCUGUCGAUGAACACCGCAGCCUCCAGGGGGCGCUAGCGGGGCUCCACACUUCUGCUUGGCCAUAAGCUGCACUUGUGGAGCACUUUCAUAAAAACGUGACGUGGAAAGAAAGCGAAGAAAAGUCCAAGAGGAGCAAACGCACGGCGAGCCCGUCAGCCGUGCGGCGUGUUGUCGUGUAUUUUUAGAGAUGUGAAUCAGAUGCUCAGUCUGCUCGUGUCCGUCAUCACUUUCACUGCCCUGAAUUCACAGUCGGGCUUCAGCAGCCACACGCGGGGGGAUUUCAUGCUUCUGUUUUCAGAUCGAACGCCAGGCUGCAGAGAAAAACAGGAAGUGUGCAGAGCGAUCUCGGCCAGCAGACACGUUUCAGAGGCUGCAGCUUCGCUUCGCUCCACACAAACACACCCGGCACUUCCUCAUUCUUCACAUUUCCGUCCUGAAGCCGACAAACGGCAAAUAUCUGUUUUUAUCCUGAGCAGGAAGACGCCGAUCGCAGCCCGACCCGAACACGCAUGUGUUUGUGUUGUAUGGCGUGAGGUCAGAGCCGCGAGGGGAGAGAAGCCCACAAACCAGCCACUCAGAGGCCGGCCUUUAGCUGAAUCCUCCUGCCUCGUGUGGCUCAUAUGAGCCCGGCACAUGUUGUGAUGUGUCACAUGUUUGAUUCUGAAAGUGUGCACAGAUGUAACCUGCCCUGGAGGUGAAACCGUGAGGCUGGAGGGCUCAGAGGAGCAUCGCGGUGUGAAGCUGAGGGCCGCUGAGCGAGUCCAAACCCUCCAGCAUCUGACCUUCAGGCUGUCCCGUUGGCCUGGCGAGAGCGUCGUUCAGGUUCGACCCCUGAGUUCUGUUCGGUGGGUCAUCGACGGUCGUGUUGGCCGACGCGUACAUUUUGACCUGCUGACGGCUGAAGGUGCUGAAGACCACCGCGGCCGGUCGGCUCUGCGACCGCAGCCCGACUGGCGAGCAGAGCGAUGCGUAAUCAUUAAGAUCAUCAUCGGGGCGACAACACAAGCCAUCACACCUGCAAGCUUUAUGAUUUUAUGAUUGUAAUUUUUAGGGAAUAAAUCAGCUCACUCAAUUUCACUUGACUGGUUUUUUAUGAUUCCUAAAUGGAUUUUAUACAUGUAAAUAACUAGUGCCGAUUCAGUUAGCUCGAUGCUAACACAUAAUGAGAAUUCCCAUUAAUGUGCUAACAGAAAUUACAUGUCCGUCAUCUUGUAAAAUUUAGAAAAAGAAACUUAAAAUUUGAAACAUAAAAAGUCUCCACAAAUCAAAAAUAAUGUUUAAAUCAGAUAUUUUCUGCGUUCGGCGUUUCUACAGGAUGAGCGCAGAGAAACAGUAGCUGCUCAUGUUGAUGUUUGUGUACUUCUCAGGCCUCCUCACCCUUCAUCUCCUCCUCCUCUUCCUCCUCCUCCUCCUGCAGUCAGGACUCCAUGUAUGGUCUGAGGGGAAACGUCUCAAACCUCCAGCCACCAAAAGCCUGCAGCAGGGAGUGACUGUGCCUCCCCAGAGUCUCACAGGGCGAGUCCCUUAUUUUUAGAGCGGCAGACUUACAGGCUAUGAUGAAGGAGGGCGUGUGUGUGUGUGUUUGUGUGUUUUUGGCUGCGUGUGAGGAAAACCUGACGGUGAUGGAUGGAUCAUCGUGUCUCUUCUUGUCUGUCACAGCCUCACUGGUUGGCUGAAUCAGCUGCUGAACUUUGAAACCUUCGUCUUUACGGCACAGAACAGAAAUGUUGUGUUUAUGUGACGGCUGAAGCUGCUGGUGACAUCCAGGCUUUAAACUGCACAUAAUUACUUCCAUUAACCUUAUCCCCUUCCUCUCUCACCUCUUCUCUUCUCUCUUGCUUCCUCUGGAUUCUUCUUUUCUUGUCUCACUCGUCUGUCGGCGGGGGAUUUCCCACAGUCGGAGAUACGAGGUUUCCCCUGAGACUAACUGCAGCACGCGAGAGGUUUUCCUCUGACAGUAACGAAGAUGCGUUUCGCUCUCACUGAUCUGAAUGUCGUACUUUUCUGCCAAAUAAAGGAAAGUGACUUCAGCAAAACACGUUUGAGUGUAAAUCCUGCCUCAGAACGCUGCGUCCACACGGACGAGGCGGACUGGAGGUUUGUCGUCCCGCCUGAGCGUGGCUGCUGACAGGUGGGAUGAAACUUCUUCCUGUGGACGCGUUCUGAGGCGGAUGUGAAAUGUGUUUUGUUGAUUUUGCUGCUGCAGGUCGAUUCCUCGGUUUGCCGGACCGCAGUCCGUUGUGAGCGUCGCACUGGAAGGUGGAGCGAAAGCAGCCGAGAUGACGAUGAAGGUGACGAUGACGAAGCACAGGUUCACGUGGGGCUCGUCUGGUCGCCUGUGUGAACGCUGUGUGAACGACAUGAAGCGAGCAGAGAGAAGUUCACACGGCCAAACGCCACCUCCACCAGGCUUCAAACUCGCUCCAGACCCAACAUCUCCACAUCACGUGAAGUAAAACAAAACACACAAUCUCCUCUGUGCAAAGGACACGCAGCCUGACGUGAGUCCACAUCGUCUCAUGUCCUACAUCAUGUCGUCCUCCUCGGCAAGCUGGAACGUUUGCUAGCUUAAUUAGCUUAGCUCAGUAGCUGCACAUUUCCUUCUGCGCAGUGACACGUCAAGAAAAUAGUUCCUCCAUGAAGCUGCUGAUAACAAGAUUGUCAUGGCUGAUGAGUUUGCUAACGUGUUUUAGUGUCACGUGGUUCCACCUCCCUGAAGAGAAGGCAGACGUCUACAGCCGAACUGUGGAUGGAUGAACAAGCAGAUUUUGCUUUUGGGUGAACUGUCCCUUUCAGCGUGACUUUUACGUAUUUGUGCUUCACUUGAGUAAUUUUGUUUUUCUGCAGUUUACAUCACAACAUGCAACGUGCUUUUAUGAAGUGAUGCAGUGCAGGAACAGGAACCUGAAGGAGGUCAGGACUUCAGUCUGGGGGCUGCAGGAUACAUAACUCAUGUUCUAAUUUGUGACACAUUUCAGAACUUUAACCUCCUCGCAGCUCUGAGACCUCUUCAGCCCGUUACAGGAGACGGUCUGAGACCAAGAUCACGUCUGGCACAAGCAAAUCGCCUCACUUUGAAGGGUCAGAAAGGUUCACCACUACCACACCACGUCCAGGUCUGAUCCAUCACCCCCUGCAGGCCGAGCGCCGAGGGACGAGCUGCCGGAUGUGACACUGAGCUCGGUGAUGGUGUGUCUGUGAGUCCACUGAGGCCUUCAGGCUGUGGACCAGCUGUGGACACACGUCCAUCUGAUCAGUAACCAGACUUUCUCCUCAGGCUGAAUUAAGACAUCACACGUGUGUAGAAGUGGAUGUGUGCGUCCCUCCCUGAAUGAGUUUGCUUCGAAGCGGAAAAACCUGAAACCAGAUCAGAAUCCAGAUCCGUCCCGAGCUCCGGCUCCGCUCCGGGUUUUCUGUCAUCCCGCUCGGCUGGUUUCUCCGGCCGCCAUUUCAGGAGCUGCAGAGGCCUUUUCUGUCAUGGCAGAACAAAAGCAGCUCUGUCUUUGUCUGCGGCUUCACGUUCGCAUGCAGCUCUUUUACAUUUACACACACGUGCAGCCACUUCCCCCGCCGACACACACACACACACACACACACACA